CGUGGCGAAUAGCUCAGUAACACGUGGCCAAACUACCCUUCGGAGCACAAUACCCUCGGGAAACUGAGGCUAAUAGUACAUACCAUACCACCACUGGAAUGAGUGGUAUGCCAAACGCUCCGGCGCCGAAGGAUGUGGCUGCGGCCGAUUAGGUAGACGGUGGGGUAACGGCCCACCGUGCCAAUAAUCGGUAUGGGUCAUGAGAGUGAGAACCCAGAGACGGAAUCUGAGACAAGAUUCCGGGCCCUACGGGGCGCAGCAGGCGCGAAACCUUUACACUGCACGACAGUGCGAUAGGGGGAUCCCAAGUGCACAGGCAUAGCGCCUGUGCUUUUCGGUACCCUAAGGCGGUACCAGAAUAAGGGCUGGGCAAGACCGGUGCCAGCCGCCGCGGUAAUACCGGCAGCCCAAGUGAUGGCCGAUCUUAUUGGGCCUAAAGCGUCCGUAGCUGGCCGCGCAAGUCCAUCGGGAAAUCCACCUGCUCAACAGGUGGGCGCCCGGUAGAAACUGCGUGGCUUGGGACCGGAAGGCGCGACGGGUACGUCCGGGGUAGGAGUGAAAUCCCGUAAUCCUGGACGGACCGCCGAUGGCGAAAGCACGUCGCGAGAACGGAUCCGACAGUGAGGGACGAAAGCCAGGGUCUCGAACCGGAUUAGAUACCCGGGUAGUCCUGGCCGUAAACAAUGUCUGCUAGGUGUGGCUCCCACUACGAGUGGGUGCUGUGCCGUAGGGAAGCCGCUAAGCAGACCGCCUGGGAAGUACGUCCGCAAGGAUGAAACUUAAAGGAAUUGGCGGGGGAGCACUACAACCGGAGGAGCCUGCGGUUUAAUUGGACUCAACGCCGGACAUCUCACCAGCAUCGACUGUGAUAAUGACGACCAGGUUGAUGACCUUGUCCGAGUCUCAAAAAGGAGUGCAUGGCC
rnacentral:rRNA from 1 species